CUAGAAAGAAGAGAGAGGGGAAAAAGAGAAGAGAGCCAGCGCGGAUCAUGUUGAGAAGACUACAUGGGUUACUAGCGGGUUGUUUGCACUUUUUGUAUGGGCCGGGCCUGGGGCAGCCGCACUUUUUACUGCAGGCACCGUACUUUGCCUGCCGUCACACAGGGACUAGCUGUACUUUCAGACAGUGAUGAACUUUAUCCUCGCACUUUCUUUGUUGCGUGCCAACCUGUCCAUAUAGGGACACGUCAGAAUAGGCAGCCUGGGAGAAGUGGGCCGACACAGCAUAUCAAGCUUGUCUUUUGUCCUGGAAUGACCUGGACAUCCCCUUUUGUUGUGGCACUUCCUGUAUGGUGGGGUUUGGGUGUGUGACAAUACCCCACCGCCUGAAAGAGAAAGAAAAAAAAACUAGCAUGCAUAUCUGCGUGCUGAAUCUGUGCACACUACAGUUAGCCAGGCAUGACUUAAUACUCUUGUGAGUUUCCAGGAGAGUUGGUCUUUUCAUGGACUGCGGGGGACCAAGCACCGGUACCGGGGCUGGACGAUGAGCUUCAGACGACAACCCGGAGCUAUGAGAGUCAGCUGAGCAUGAUGAGUGAACAUCUCUGCAGCAUGAAUGAGAAACUCACAGCUCAAAAAGACCAGAUUGAUGCGCUCAAACUCUCCGCCAAACCGAACAAGAAAGG